rnacentral:rRNA from 1 species
GAAUAUGUUCCUGAUCCUUGUACACACCGCCCGUCAAGCCACGAAAGCGGGGGGCAUCCGAAGUCGCCGAGCCAACCUUCGGGAGGCAGGCGCCUAAGAUGAACUCCGUGAUUGGGACUAAGUCGUAACAAGGUAGCCGUAGGGGAACCUGCGGCUGGAUCACCUCCUUU